UGCUCCUUUGAGACCGGCGCACGGGUGCGUAACGCGUAUGCAAUCUACCUUGUACCGGGGAAUAGCCCAUAGAAAUUUGGAUUGANGCCCCAUAGUAUAUAACCUUCGCAUGUUGGUUAUAUUANGGUUCCAACGGUACCAGAUGAGCAUGCGUCCCAUUAGUUAGUUGGAAAGGUAACGGCUUACCAAGACGAUGAUGGGUAGGGGUCCUGAGAGGGAGAUCCCCCACACUGGUACUGAGACACGGACCAGACUCCUACGGGAGGCAACACUGAGGAAUAUUGGUCAAUGGUCNCAAGACUGAACCACCCAUGCCACGAGCGUGAAGACGGUCCUAUGGAUUGUAAACUGCUUUUAUACAGGAAGAAACCCUCCCACGUGUGGGAGCUUGACGGUACUGUACGANNAAGGGAUCUANUAACUCCGUGCC
rnacentral:rRNA from 1 species